AGGGAAUUUUCGUCAAUGGGGGGAACCCUGAACGAGCAAUGCCGCGUGAGUGAGGAAGGUCUUCGGAUCGUAAAGCUCUGUUGUAAGAGAAAAACGGCACUCAUAGGGAAUGAUGAGUGAGUGAUGGUAUCUUACCAGAAAGUCACGGCUAACUACGUGCCAGCAGCCGCGGUAAUACGUAGGUGGCGAGCGUUAUCCGGAAUGAUUGGGCGUAAAGGGUGCGUAGGUGGCAGAUCAAGUCUGGAGUAAAAGGUAUGGGCUCAACCCGUACUUGCUCUGGAAACUGAUCAGCUAGAGAACAGAAGAGGACGGCGGAACUCCAUGUGUAGCGGUAAAAUGCGUAGAUAUAUGGAAGAACACCGGUGGCGAAGGCGGCCGUCUGGUCUGGAUUCUGACACUGAAGCACGAAAGCGUGGGGAGCAAAUAGGAUUAGAUACCCUAGUAGUCCACGCCGUAAACGAUGAGAACUAGGUGUUGGGGGAAUAACUCAGUGCCGCAGUUAACGCAAUAAGUUCUCCGCCUGGGGAGUAUGCACGCAAGUGUGAAACUCAAAGGAAUUGACGGGGGCCCGCACAAGCGGUGGAGUAUGUGGUUUAAUUCGAAGCAACGCGAAGAACCUUACCAGGCCUUGACAUCCCUUGCAGAGGUAUAGAGAUAUAUCCGAGGUUAUCAAGGAGACAGGUGGUGCAUGGUUGUCGUCAGCUCGUGUCGUGAGAUGUUGGGUUAAGUCCCGCAACGAGCGCAACCCUUGUGAUAUGUUACUAACAUUGAGUUGAGGACUCAUAUCAGACUGCCGGUGAUAAACCGGAGGAAGGUGGGGAUGACGUCAAAUCAUCAUGCCCCUUAUGGCCUGGGCUACACACGUACUACAAUGGCGUCUACAAAGAGCGGCAAGCCUGUGAAGGCAAGCGAAUCUCAUAAAGGACGUCUCAGUUCGGAUUGAAGUCUGCAACCCGACUUCAUGAAGCUGGAAUCGCUAGUAAUCGCGAAUCAGCAUGUCGCGGUGAAUACGUUCUCG
rnacentral:rRNA from 1 species